rnacentral:rRNA from 1 species
GACGAACGCUUGCGGCGUGCUUAACACAUGCAAGUCGAACGGAAAGGCCCUGCUUUUGUGGGGUGCUCGAGUGGCGAACGGGUGAGUAACACGUGAGUAACCUGCCCUUGACUUUGGGAUAACUUCAGGAAACUGGGGCUAAUACCGGAUAGGAGCUCCUGCUGCAUGGUGGGGGUUGGAAAGUUUCGGCGGUUGGGGAUGGACUCGCGGCUUAUCAGCUUGUUGGUGGGGUAGUGGCUUACCAAGGCUUUGACGGGUAGCCGGCCUGAGAGGGUGACCGGCCACAUUGGGACUGAGGUACGGCCCAGACUCCUACGGGAGGCAGCAGUGGGGAAUAUUGCACAAUGGGCGGAAGCCUGAUGCAGCAACGCCGCGUGCGGGAUGACGGCCUUCGGGUUGUAAACCGCUUUCGCCUGUGACGAAGCGUGAGUGACGGUAAUGGGUAAAGAAGCACCGGCUAACUACGUGCCAGCAGCCGCGGUGAUACGUAGGGUGCGAGCGUUGUCCGGAUUUAUUGGGCGUAAAGGGCUCGUAGGUGGUUGAUCGCGUCGGAAGUGUAAUCUUGGGGCUUAACCCUGAGCGUGCUUUCGAUACGGGUUGACUUGAGGAAGGUAGGGGAGAAUGGAAUUCCUGGUGGAGCGGUGGAAUGCGCAGAUAUCAGGAGGAACACCAGUGGCGAAGGCGGUUCUCUGGGCCUUUCCUGACGCUGAGGAGCGAAAGCGUGGGGAGCGAACAGGCUUAGAUACCCUGGUAGUCCACGCUGUAAACGGUGGGUACUAGGUGUGGGGUCCAUUCCACGGGUUCCGUGCCGUAGCUAACGCUUUAAGUACCCCGCCUGGGGAGUACGGCCGCAAGGCUAAAACUCAAAGGAAUUGACGGGGCCCCGCACAAGCGGCGGAGCAUGCGGAUUAAUUCGAUGCAACGCGUAGAACCUUACCUGGGUUUGACAUGGAUCGGGAGUGCUCAGAGAUGGGUGUGCCUCUUUUGGGGUCGGUUCACAGGUGGUGCAUGGCUGUCGUCAGCUCGUGUCGUGAGAUGUUGGGUUAAGUCCCACAACGAGCGCAACCCUUGUUCACUGUUGCCAGCACGUUAUGGUGGGGACUCAGUGGAGACCGCCGGGGUCAACUCGGAGGAAGGUGGGGAUGACGUCAAGUCAUCAUGCCCCUUAUGUCCAGGGCUUCACGCAUGCUACAAUGGCUGGUACAGAGAGUGGCGAGCCUGUGAGGGUGAGCGAAUCUCGGAAAGCCGGUCUCAGUUCGGAUUGGGGUCUGCAACUCGACCUCAUGAAGUCGGAGUCGCUAGUAAUCGCAGAUCAGCAACGCUGCGGUGAAUACGUUCCCGGG